AGACCAUGACAAGAAAAUGGCUGCAAUGUAGUCCCGAAACGACCCUCCGACAAGAAAAUUACAUCGAGUAUCAUAGCGGCUUCGCUUCGCUGCUCCCCUUCUUCCCCAAACCCCGUGUCUGUGAGCAUUGAUAUCUCAAAAUGAACAGCGCCACGAAAGCAGCGUUGAUAAGCUCGAAAGCCAGCUGCUUUCAUUUGAGGGCAGCCCUCUUUCAUUCUACUCCCGUCCUAGAACGUAAGAGGCGCAAUUACUGGGAACCCAGAUCCAACAAUUACCCAAAAAGGUUCAGACAGCUGCAUGCAAAACAAACAUUAUUGCGGAAUGUUGGUGCUUACGCGGACUUCAUGUUUCAGAGUUGGCGGGACGAGGAUGAAGAGGAUGACCCAUCUUCAAGUAGGGGCCCCUCAUGGUUUAGAAGGCAAUACUCUGCUAAGGGUUCCAAAAGGGACUGGACCAACACCCAGGGACCCAAGCGAUCGGGCAGAACCUUUAUGUAGGGUGAUGCUCUUCUUAAUGGCAUCAUGUGGGGCACACUAGGCAUCCUUCACGGCAUAACUGCUUCACUCGUGUGUUGAGUCUUGGAUUCAUGUUUCAUCACCUUUUGAGGUUGCAUUAUAUCAUCCCAUUUUCAAUUAUGGUUCAGGAGGUCACCAGUUCUGUGAAGAAGAUGAUGUUGAUGUUGAGACCAUUUUCCGAUCUGCAUUUGGUGGGAACCGAUUCUUCUAUUGGUCUUUCGUUAAUGAAGAGAAUUCUCAAUGGAGGAGCUCAUCAAACUAUAAUAACUUUGGGAGGUCCUGGAAUUGGAGAUAUCGGAAUGAAGAAACAUAUGAUUCUUCAUCUGAGUCUGAGAGUUCCGAGACAGAUAUGGCUUCAGACAGGCUGGCCCUUGGAUUGAGUGCUUCUGGCCCUCUACAACUUGAAGAUGUUAAAAAUGCAUAUAGAGUCUGUGCACUAAAAUGGCAUCCAGAUCGUCAUCAAGGCUCUUCCAAGGCUGUUGCAGAGGAAAAGUUCAAGCUUUGCAGCGCUGCAUAUCAAUCUUUAUGUGAUAAGCUAGCCGUGAGUUAAGGAUGCUUUAGAGCGUGCUGCAUCCUAGCAGAUGCAACUUACAGAUCGUAUUUUCAUCGAAUUCUGGAGUUAGAAGUUUUCUUUUUUCCCCUGAAGGAAAGAGUGUGGCAAUUGCCACUAUGGUUUCUCCCAAGGGGCAGCAUAAAUUCUCAGAAUUCCUUGUUUUUUGGGGGGCAACUGGCCUGUUCUACCGGGGGCAUACCCUGAAAUAUCUAUGCAAUUAUGGUAUGAGCUUGACAGCUUGUAGAUUCUCCUUUGCAUAGUCAGUAAGGAGGCAAGAUCUCUCCUUCUUCAUGCGCUGUAACUUGCAUGUCUGUUAAACUUGAAGGCAUAUACAAUUCAUUUAGAACAAGAGAUCAUAAUUUCAUGGUUAUGUUGAAAGCACAGCGUUGCGUAUA